rfam:Cucumis melo, WGS project CAJI01000000 data, contig: 22980
AAGAGCCAAGUGAAUUGAAAGAUUCAUGUUUGGUUCGAGAAGGGAUUGUCGAAGUUUUGAAAUGAAUGGAAAGACAAUCUACUUUCAU